rnacentral:rRNA from 1 species
UACGUAGGGUGCAAGCGUUGUCCGGAAUCAUUGGGCGUAAAGAGCGUGUAGGCGGCCCGAUAAGUCCGCUGUGAAAGUCCAGGGCUCAACCCUGGAAUGCCGGUGGAUACUGUCGGGCUAGAGUCCGGAAGGGGCGAGUGGAAUUCCUGGUGUAGCGGUGAAAUGCGCAGAUAUCAGGAGGAACACCAAUGGCGAAGGCAGCUCGCUGGGACGUUACUGACGCUGAGACGCGAAAGCGUGGGGAGCAAACAGG